rnacentral:rRNA from 1 species
GUGUCAGCAGCCGCGGUAAUACGGAGGGUGCAAGCGUUAAUCGGAUUUAUUGGGCGUAAAAGGCGCGUAGGCGGGCAAGUAAGUUGGACGUGAAAGCCCAGGGCUCAACCCUGGAACGGCAUCCAAAACUACUUGUCUAGAGGGUAGGCGGAGAAAACGGAAUUCCACAAGUAGCGGUGAAAUGCGUAGAUAUGUGGAAGAACACCUGUGGCGAAGGCGGUUUUCUAGGUUACUCCUGACGCUGAGGCGCGAAAGCAAGGGGAUCAAACAGGAUUAGAUACCCUGGUAGUCCUUGCCGUAAACUAUGUAUACUUGGUGUAACCGGACUCAACCCUGGUUGUGCCGAAGCUAACGCGAUAAGUAUACCGCCUGGGGAGUACGCUCGCAAGGGUGAA